CACAUCAUCUAGCUAAAGAUGAGGGCCACCCUAACGCUGCUGCUACCUCUCGUGUUCCUCCUCCUCGUGCUAGCACCAGCUAAGGCGAGUUAUGAUUGUACAAGCCAUAUCGUCGCGUGCAAGGACAAACCCGAACCACCUUGUCCGUGCAACCAGGCGGAGUGUAACUUCGACAGUCGCAUAGCGUACGGUCACCUUGGGUGCCCGAAAUCUGCGACCAGCUGCUCUUGGACAGGACUGUGCAUGAGUCAGGGGUGUAACUUCACCUACUGCGUAUAUAGAUAAGAUAGGCAGGCAUGUCGACCUGAUAGAAUAACAAAGAUGAUACCAUGGAUGGCAAUGCAGUAUGUAGUUUUAUUCGCUGCAAAGUGAUGUACGUGAAUGGUGAAUUAUUUACAUGCCUACCAUGGAUAUGUCUCGUUUUUCAUAUUAUCCUGAAAUAAAAAGUGUUCACUUUAGAGUCAA